CAUAUCGCAACCAAUUGGGGUUAGUAUUUUGAGUGAAUUGAUUAGUUUUUAAAAUUCAAAAAAAUACUUGUUAUGCAUAGCUUUAUUCAGCUACGGAAACGGAUACUUACUAAAUAUUGAAAAAAAUAAAUGUCAAAAAAAAUAAUGUUGAAAAUAAUGACAAUGACCAAACUGCAAAAAAAGACAAUAAUGAUGAUGAUUGUGACGUUGUCUUGGAAAUUUAUACGAUUUCACAGCCAAACUGGUGUUGGUUAGCGUUGGUUGGUGGUUGUGGUGGUCAUAUACCUGAUUAUCAUCACGAUAAUAUAGAAUCAUAUGCAGCAAUUCCGACUACAGAAGCUGCUGCUAAUUAUGAUGACAUACGGAAAUGACGAAAAGUUGAUAAAAUGGCAUUGAAUAAUGUUGUUAAAUUCCAAUUCAAACGAUGCUGGGCAACAUGAAGAUAAUCAACAAAUAAAUUGGCCAUCAUCGAAUGACAAUUUGCAAAGUAAUCAACAUUUUUGCCAGAACCAACCGAAUCGACAACACAAACAAGCAGCUUUCAACCGAUAAUUCCGAGUCCGCAUUCACACACACACUUGAACACGCAUCAUCGUUAAGUUCAAUAAAAAUGUUUUUUUAUUUUA